UCUGGGUUUAUCCCAGCGGUCUCGUUAGAGAAAUAUAACUAACGACGAGGGUUGCGCUCGUUGCGGGACUUAACCCAACAUCUCACGACACGAGCUGACGACAGCCAUGCAGCACCUGUGUUCCCGCUCCCUUUCGGGCACAGCCCCGUUUCCGGGGCCUCCAGGACAUGUCAAGGGUAGGUAAGGUUUUUCGCGUUGCAUCGAAUUAAUCCACAUCAUCCACCGCUUGUGCGGGUCCCCGUCAAUUCCUUUGAGUUUUAAUCUUGCGACCGUACUCCCCAGGCGGGGCACUUAAUGCGUUAGCUGCGGCACCCAGGGGGUCAAUACCCCGGACACCUAGUGCCCAUCGUUUACAGCGUGGACUAC
rnacentral:misc_RNA from 1 species